rnacentral:rRNA from 1 species
CCUACGGGGCGCAGCAGUGAGGAAUAUUGGUCAAUGGGCGGGAGCCUGAACCAGCCAAGUCGCGUGAGGGAAGACGGUCCUAUGGAUUGUAAACCUCUUUAGGCGGGGAGCAAUGCCGGGCACGCGUGCCCGGAGGGAGAGUACCCGCAGAAUAAGCAUCGGCGAACUCCGUGCCAGCCGCCGCGGUAAUACGGAGGAUGCGAGCGUUAUCCGGAUUUAUUGGGUUUAAAGGGUGCGUAGGCGGAUUUUUAAGUCAGCGGUAAAAUGUCCGGGCUCAACCCGGGCCGGCCGUUGAAACUGGGGAUCUUGAGUGGGCGAGAAGUAUGCGGAAUGCGUGGUGUAGCGGUGAAAGGCAUAGAUAUCACGCAGAACUCCGAUUGCGAAGGCAGCAUACCGGCGCCCGACUGACGCUGAGGCACGAAAGCGUGGGGAUCGAACAGGAUUAGAUACCCCGGUAGUC